GCGCCCGUACCUCAAUUGGAUAGAGGACCGGUCUACGAAACCGACUGUUGCGCGUUCAAAUCGCGCCGGGCGCG
rnacentral:tRNA from 1 species